rnacentral:rRNA from 1 species
GACGAACGCUGGCGGCGUGCUUAACACAUGCAAGUCGAACGGAAAGGCCCUGCUUGCAGGGUGCUCGAGUGGCGAACGGGUGAGUAACACGUGGGUGAUCUGCCCCUUACUUUGGGAUAAGCCUGGGAAACUGGGUCUAGUACUGGAUAGGACCAUGCUGUAGGUUGUGUGGUGGAAAGAUUAGUUUCGGUAAGGGAUGAGCUCGCGGCCUAUCAGCUUGUUGGUGGGGUAAUGGCCUACCAAGGCGUCGACGGGUAGCCGGCCUGAGAGGGUGGACGGCCAAAUUGGGACUGAGGUACGGCCAAGAGUCCUACGGGAGGCAGCAGUGGGGAAGAUUGCACAAUGGGCGCAAGCCUGAUGAAGCGACGCCGCGUGGGGGAUGACGGCCUUCGGGUUGUAAACUCCUUUCAGCCAUGACGAAGCCCUUGUGGUGACGGUAGUGGUAGAAGAAGCACCGGCUAACUACGUG